rnacentral:lncRNA from 9 species
AGAGCGAGCGCUCGUCGAUAGGUCUGCUAGCAACAGCCGUGCUGCAGCAGAGAGAGAGAGAAAUCAAGAAACAAGUCAUAGCAACACCGGGCACCAGGUUCUGCCAGCUCACUUGCCAAGGGCUCAGAAAUCUGCCGUGGCCGGAGGCCUCUGGGUGGCCUGGCUAAGGGGAUGACACGCAAGGCGACGAUGGGUGGUCCGAUGGGCUUCAGGACUUGAUGGCGUAACCCCCUUCUUACCCCACUGUCAGCUGCUCCAGCCAGACCGGGGCAGAGAAGAGAGGAGCAGACCGUCCCUGGCGGCCCACCUGACCUCCCAGCCUUUACCCCCAUUUCCUUCUACCAGACAGACAGACGGACUGGUUUCCCAGGUUGUCUGGGUGUCAGCGUCUGUCUGUCCAUCUGUGUGGUUCUCAGGUGGAAGGUAGGGCGUGAGAAGUGCUGGGAGGGAGGCGAGGGGGGUGGCUUUCCAGGGGUUGCCUUGCUGAAAUGUUCGGCCCUGGGGAUCUGGGUCUGGUGGGGAGCCCGUGGGCAGGAUGGGGCGUGGGCCGGGAGAAGCGGGGGCACGCGGGUAGGUUUGUCACUGCGUAGUUGGGGAAAGUGGGGACUGGUGACGCAGUCACUGUGGGAUCUUGUUAGGCGCUCUGGGGGGACAGGUAGUGGGGCUGCCGGGACCUAUAGGGCCAGCUGAGAGGGGUUAAGGAUGAGCUGAGAAGGGAAGCUAGCAUUUAGAGAUUAAAUGUCAUCCUUUUGGCGUUGGAAAGUUGUUUACCUUGCGCUCUCUGUGUCUCCAUGUUGGCACCCUUCCAGUUCACAUGUGAUGGCCUUCCUUGUACUGCUGCAUCAUUAACUAAGUGACUGAGCUGGCCUUCCAUUGGCCAGGGGAGGGCUCUCACGCCAGACACUUCCUCUGAUUGGUGGGCGGGCCAGUGGCAGGUGAAAACCUCUUUUUGAUUGGCUGAAGGCAGGGUAUCAAAUCUGAAUUUGCAUUUCACUUGCUUAAAGGGGAGGGGGAGAAGCCCAGCAGCCUUCUAAAAUCUGUUUAGGGGUGUGCGUAUGCUCCUGCGCGUAUGCUUUCUUCUGACUGACCAGUCGAAGCCUCUUCCUGUGCCUUUUUAAUUAUUUCAUGCGCUAUGAGGAAGAGGAGCCGAGAGCUCCCCAAACUUUUUUUUUUUUUUUUUGGUUGGGGCGAAGGUUGAGGAGAUGGGAGCGCAGGGGGAUGACCAAACUGGAAGGAAAUAUUCGUUCUUUAGUUUGGUGUCAGAAAAGGGAAUUUUCCAAUCAGCCACACCUCAGUGUUGCGGCAAAAUAAUUCUUGGCUCCCCUGGAAACGCAUGGGCAAGGUAGGGCAGAGCUGCUGCUGCCACCACCCUCGGCUUCCUGCUGACUCUGGGCCACUCCCCGGGGACAAGAGAUUUGCAUUGACGUCCCGGGCUGUCCAGAGCUGAGCCCAUUAUGGGAGGACCUGCCUUCUGGAAGCUGCUGCUCCCUGGUGCUCAGAAAGGUACCCCGUCGGGCUCGUUCACAGCGGCUGUUUCAUUUGUGCCUCAUCCCACCCCUGCGAGGAGCGGGCCGUGGCCGAGAACUCAGAGGAGCUCAGCUCUGCGAGUAGGUGACGCCCUCUCGGAGACACAGGCUCAGCUGCUGGUGGUGCUGGUGUGCGGGCCAUCGUGUGGGAUGAAUGGGCGCCCGUUUGCAUGUAUUUGGAACAAAAAGAAGGAGAUGCCUGGCAGCCUGGCAGCCUGGCGCUCUGCAGUAAGUAUUUCGUCUGCAUUCUUUUCUUUCUUCCAGCGUCGGAAGUGCGUAGCUGUGUAUCGAGCCCCGCCAGCUGCUGUGCCCUCUCUGUUCUUCCCCGCACACCCCCGCCCUUGGUCCUUCAGAAGAGAGGACUCGAUCGAUGUUCUUGUGCUGCGGGAGAGCUGUGGAGAGGCUGGACCUCAGGGUUCAGCCCCCACACGUCCUCCUCCCAUUCAAGAGAAGUCAGUGCUCCCAAAACGGAGCCAGAAGGCCAGGCCCUCAGAGCAGCGCGUUCGUGGGCUGAAUGGAAGGGUCCUGCCGGUCCCACUGCCCCAGCAGGGGCCGAGGCUCUCAGGUGGCUGGCGGGGGAGGGGGCCUCGCCAGCAUCUAGCAUGGUUCUCUGCCAAGUUCUAG